rnacentral:rRNA from 1 species
GACGAACGCUGGCGGCGUGCCUAAUACAUGCAAGUAGAACGCUGAAGGAGGAGCUUGCUUCUCCGGAUGAGUUGCGAACGGGUGAGUAACGCGUAGGUAACCUGCCUGGUAGCGGGGGAUAACUAUUGGAAACGAUAGCUAAUACCGCAUAAGAGUAGAUGUUGCAUGACAUUUGCUUAAAAGGUGCAAUUGCAUCACUACCAGAUGGACCUGCGUUGUAUUAGCUAGUUGGUGAGGUAACGGCUCACCAAGGCGACGAUACAUAGCCGACCUGAGAGGGUGAUCGGCCACACUGGGACUGAGACACGGCCCAGACUCCUACGGGAGGCAGCAGUAGGGAAUCUUCGGAAAUGGACGGAAGUCUGACCGAGCAACGCCGCGGGAGUGAAGAAGGGUUUCGGAUCGUAAAGCUCUGUUGUAAGAGAAGAACGAGUGUGAGAGUGGAAAGUUCACACUGUGACGGUAGCUUACCAGAAAGGGACGGCUAACUACGUG